rnacentral:misc_RNA from 1 species
GGAUUUUUCAUAAGCUCUGUAAGGCAAGAAGUUUCUUGAGAAUUGUCAAAUUUUAGUCAAUUUGUAAGCUUUUAAUUCAUUAAACUUUCAUAAUGCUUUGAAUUAGAAUUUUCAUUUGAAUAUCUCCAAGUGUUUGGAAUAUAUUCUAAUUGCAAUCUCAAGUGUUAUUAUAUGGUUUUGGUUUGUAAUACAAAUACUUUCUCUGCAUGUGUUAGAUAAAUUUUCUUUCUAGCUUUGCUCAUUUAGGUUUUGAUAACUUUUCUCCCCAUCUUUUUACUGUGUAUUGAAAGUAGAACAAAUCUUGAUUCCAUACAUCCUGGAAUCUCUCACCCGUAUUUAUGCAGGUAUAUCUAUUCAUCUCUUCCCAGAGGGUUGCUGGUUGUCUGGUUGCUGAACCAAUAGAAGAAGCAUUCAAAAUCAUUCCAUGUUUAGUGGAUAGAAGAUCUGAUGGUGCUACUACAAAGGAUUCAAAAUUGAAUUCAACCACUCUUCGAUUUGGGG